rnacentral:lncRNA from 1 species
UUAAGUUAGAUACACAGAGUAGAGUUAGACAACAAAAUCAAGCCAGAGCGCACCUAUACAGUUCAACUAAAGCAUACUAUCUGAUAACUUCACUUGAUUGUCUUCACGUUCGACUUCUCACAUGGCACGUCACAUGAACCUGCUGCGAGUAUUUAGUUUAACCAAUCAAGCCAUAGCCAAAAAAAAUCAUGGAUAAUACGGUUAUGUUCUUUUAACUGACCGCUUGUGGAUAGUGAGCGAUGGUUUGCCCCAUAGUUCGCACCAUAUUGGUCCUAUGCGUAAGAGUUCAGUCUAACUCGAAGAACAAUCUAUUGAACAAUGGUGUGUAAGAGUUCAUCUAACAUGCAAAGUAUUGAACAAUGGCAUAAGGCCAGCAUGCUACCUCUUGUUAAGGUCCUCUCACAAAGACAUGGUUCGCUACAUGGAGCUCGACCCCUUGUCUUUUUGGCACGUUGGCGUUUAUGGCAGCGCUUACCUGAAUAUUUGAGACAACCAGCG